rnacentral:rRNA from 1 species
GAUGAACGCUGGCGGCGUGCCUAACACAUGCAAGUCGAGCGAGAUAAAUGUGAGUGGAGACUUCGGUCAAAGCAAUCAUUUUGAAAGCGGCGGACGGGUGAGUAACGCGUGAGCAAUCUGCCCCAUACAAAGGGAUACCCACUGGAAACGGUGAUUAAUACCUUAUAAGACCACGAAGUCGCCUGGCUUAGUGGCCAAAGAUUUAUCGGUAUGGGAUGAGCUCGCGUCUGAUUAGCUAGUUGAUGAGGUAAUGGCUCACCAAGGCGACGAUCAGUAGCCGACCUGAGAGGGGGAACGGCCACACUGGAACUGAGACACGGUCCAGACUCCUACGGGAGGCAGCAGUGGGGAAUAUUGCACAAUGGGCGCAAGCCUGAUGCAGCAACGCCGCGUGAAUGAUGAAGGCCUUCGGGUCGUAAAGUUCUGUCCUAAGGGAAGAAUACAGUGACGGUACCUUAGGAGGAAGCCCCGGCUAACUACGUGCCAGCCGCCGCGGUAA